rnacentral:lncRNA from 1 species
GUUCACUUAAAUUAUGUUGACAUAUAUUGAUAGAUAAAUGCUCCAAUAGAACAUGUGAAACAGCCAUAUGCUUGAGUAAAUAACUUCAGAAAAUGCUCGACAAUCACCAGUCAUGUAAUUACACAUGCCUUGUUGGGCUAUUUUCUUUCCCAUACUCCUUCCUACGUCCUUUGUCUUUACGAAAUCUCAUGUUCACUAAAAUCUCGACACCUCGUUUUUUGGCAAUUCGCGCAAGAGAGUCAAACAUGCUUGGCAGUUCGUCGAAUUCCUCAUUGACCACAACAUUCACUUCUUCAUUAACGGUGCUCGAUUCACCACUCGAUUCUUCAUUAUCGACCCACUCAAAGUAGCCACAGUCAUCACUACAACUUUUGAAUAAUCACUCAUUGUUACUGGUGUUCCUUCCGACCUCAAAACAUUUUUGAAUUUCAUGUGAACACCAUGGGCAUCGAAAUUUUCUGGGGCAAUCUCUAAAGUAAUGCAUUGUGCUUCUACAACUGUGACAAACUCCGAAAUUCGCCCCUCUCAACUUGCGAUUAGGCACAAACAAUUUACAGACACCAAUGCAAAAUCACGCAAAUUGCUCGACCACUACAAAUUCAAAUCUCCAGAAGUGCAGGGCAGUAGGCAUUCACAUAAAAAUUUAUACAUACAUUUAUUACUGAAUAGCAGGACAAUCGAACAUAUUAUUUAGAAGGUUAUUGAAAAGUUAAUUUUUCGAUUAGAUAACAAUUUGUUUGUAUUUUGAGUUCAAAAGGUUUGGUGAGUAACUAGAGAUGCAGAGACCAAUCCAUCCUCGCAAAUGGCAGCUGAAAUGGUAAUUUCCACGACAAAAAUUAUGCCAAAGCAAGGAAGAGAUGUGAAAAUGCAUUAUAAUCAGGAUUGGUUCUCCCAAAAUUGUGAG